GAAACUCAUCAGGGGCAAGAAGAUUUUAGGAUUGACAGAUUGAGAGUUCUUUCUUGAUUGGUCUAGUGGUGGUGCAUGGCCGUUUUUGGUUGGUGGAUCGAUCCGUCUGGUUAAUUCCGUUAACGAACGAGACCUCGGCACUCCGAAUAGCGCGGCGGACGUCGCGGCCUCCGGGCCGUCUUCCGCACGAGCUUCUUAGAGGGACCGUCCCCCGCCGGGGAAGGAGGUGCGAGGCAACGACAGGUCUGUGAUGCCCUUAGAUGUUCUGGGCCGCACGCGCAUUACACUGACGCGUCCAACGGGUGACUCCCGACCCGAAGGGGCCGGGGAAUCCGCAAGGCGCGUCGUGAUGGGGAUUGAACGUUGCAAUUGUUGUUCACGAACGAGGAAUUCCUAGUAGGCGCGGGUCAUCAACCCGCGCCGAUUACGUCCCUG
rnacentral:rRNA from 1 species